CUCGUAGGCGGCUUGUCGCGUCUGCUGUGAAAGCCCGGGGCUUAACUCCGGGUGUGCAGUGGGUACAGGCAGGCUAGAGUGCAGUAGGGGUAACUGGAAUUCCUGGUGUAGCGGUGAAAUGCGCAGAUAUCAGGAGGAACACCGAUGGCGAAGGCAGGUUACUGGGCUGUUACUGACGCUGAGGAGCGAAAGCAUGGGGAGCGAACA
rnacentral:rRNA from 1 species